GCAUGCCAACAAUAUAGCAUUAAUGCACCAGAUCCCAUUAGAACUCCGCAGUUAAGCACACUCAGGCUAGAGUAGUACUGGGAUGGGUGACUUCCCGGGAAUUCCUAGUGUUUUACAUGCC
rnacentral:rRNA from 1 species